rnacentral:rRNA from 1 species
AACGUAGGUGGCAAGCGUUGUCCGGAUUUACUGGGCGUAAAGAGCGCGCAGGCGGUCGAAUAAGUCGAAUGUGAAAGCCCCCGGCUCAACUGGGGAGGGUCAUUCGAUACUGCUCGACUUGAAGGCAGGAGAGGGUAGUGGAAUUCCCGGUGUAGUGGUGAAAUGCGUAGAUAUCGGGAGGAACACCAGUGGCGAAGGCGACUACCUGGCCUGUUCUUGACGCUGAGGCGCGAAAGCUGGGGGAGCAAACGGG